rnacentral:lncRNA from 10 species
UGGAGAGCUGGACAUGUGGAGGCCGACAGGAAGGUGAAGAAGUCAUCUGCGUGCUGUGAGGGUGGCGCACCCCAACUCCAUGGGGACAGAAGGUCCUGCAUUUAGGACCCUUCCAGACCUCACACCUAUGUAUCUCUUCAUCUGGCUGAUUACUUAUAUCCUUUCAAAGACGCUUCUUAGUAAACUGGACCACCUGAUAGGGUACUGAGGAUGGCUUCUGACCUGGAGGCAUCAAGGACCUGAAGGCAGUAACCAUUUCAGAGGACAGCCACAUCCCUCAAAUUACAAACAUCUAAAAUGUCCAUUAACUGUUGAGUGGAUAUAUAAAUUCUGAUGUUUUAUAAAAUGGCAUACCCUACAUCAAUGAAGAUGAAUGAAUU